AUUGAACGCUGGCGGCAGGCCUAACACAUGCAAGUCGAGCGGAGCGGCGGACGGGUGAGUAAUGCCUAGGAAUCUGCCUGGUAGUGGGGGAUAACGUCCGGAACCGGGCGCUAAUACCGCAUACUAUCAGAUGAGGCUAGGUCGGAUUAGCUAGUUGGUGGGGUAAAGGCCUACCAAGGCGACGAUCCCUAACUGGGCUGAGAGUAUGAUCAGUCACACUGGAACGGAGACACGGUCCAGACGCCUACGGGAGGAAGCAGUGGGGAAUAUUGUACAAUGGGCGAAAGCCGGAUCCAGCCAUGCCGCGUGUAUGAAGAAGGCCUUCGGAUUGUAAAGCACUUUAAGUUGGGAGGCGUUACCAACAGAAGAAGCACCGGCUAACUCCGUGCCAGCAGCCGCGGUAAUAC
rnacentral:rRNA from 1 species